rnacentral:ncRNA from 2 species
UAUAUGAGCUAGGGGUGCCGUAAGGCUGAGAAAAUUUGUUUGAAUUUACCCUUGAACCUGAUCCGGAUUGUACCGGCGUAGGAAAGCUGAAUGGAUUUAAA